rnacentral:ncRNA from 1 species
AAUAGACCGCUUCCUGCGGUUCCGGACGAGGGAUCAGUACCCGGUAAGCGACAAGACUGGCCACG